rnacentral:rRNA from 1 species
ACCCGGUCUUCGGACUGGGAGCGUACACAGGUGCUGCAUGGCUGUCGUCAGCUCGUGUCGUGAGAUGUUGGGUUAAGUCCCGCACGAGCGAGACCCACGUCCACAGUUGCCAGCAUACCCUCCGGGGUGAUGGGUACACUGUGGAGACCGCCGCUGCUAAAGCGGAGGAAGGAGUGGGCAACGGUAGGUCAGUAUGCCCCGAAUCUCCCGGGCUACACGCGGGCUACAAUGGUUGGUACAAUGGGCAUCUACCCCGAAAGGGGAAGGAAAUCUCUUAAAGCCAAUCGUAGUUCGGAUUGAGGGCUGCAACUCGCCCUCAUGAAGCUGGAAUCCGUAGUAAUCGCGUUUCAACAGAACGCGGUGAAUACGUCCCUGCUCCUU